GGGGUGCUCGAGUGGCGAACGGGUGAGUAACACGUGAGUAACCUGCCCUUGACUUGGGAUAACUUCAGGAAACUGGGGCUAAUACCGGAUAGGAGCUCCUGCUGCAUGGUGGGGGUUGGAAAGUUUCGGCGGUUGGGGAUGGACUCGCGGCUUAUCAGCUUGUUGGUGGGGUAGUGGCUUACCAAGGCUUUGACGGGUAGCCGGCCUGAGAGGGUGACCGGCCACAUUGGGACUGAGAUACGGCCCAG
rnacentral:rRNA from 1 species